rnacentral:rRNA from 1 species
GGGUUGUGAGGUUAAGCGACUAAGCGUACACGGUGGAUGCCCUGGCAGUCAGAGGCGAUGAAGGACGUGCUAAUCUGCGAUAAGCGUCGGUAAGGUGAUAUGAACCGUUAUAACCGGCGAUUUCCGAAUGGGGAAACCCAGUGUGAUUCGUCACACUAUCAUUAACUGAAUCCAUAGGUUAAUGAGGCGAACCGGGGGAACUGAAACAUCUAAGUACCCCGAGGAAAAGAAAUCAACCGAGAUUCCCCCAGUAGCGGCGAGCGAACGGGGAGCAGCCCAGAGCCUGAAUCAGUGUGUGUGUUAGUGGAAGCGUCUGGAAAGGCGCGCGAUACAGGGUGACAGCCCCGUACACAAAAAUGCACAUACUGUGAGCUCGAUGAGUAGGGCGGGACACGUGGUAUCCUGUCUGAAUAUGGGGGGACCAUCCUCCAAGGCUAAAUACUCCUGACUGACCGAUAGUGAACCAGUACCGUGAGGGAAAGGCGAAAAGAACCCCGGCGAGGGGAGUGAAAAAGAACCUGAAACCGUGUACGUACAAGCAGUGGGAGCACGCUUAGGCGUGUGACUGCGUACCUUUUGUAUAAUGGGUCAGCGACUUAUAUUCUGUAGCAAGGUUAACCGAAUAGGGGAGCCGAAGGGAAACCGAGUCUUAACUGGGCGUUAAGUUGCAGGGUAUAGACCCGAAACCCGGUGAUCUAGCCAUGGGCAGGUUGAAGGUUGGGUAACACUAACUGGAGGACCGAACCGACUAAUGUUGAAAAAUUAGCGGAUGACUUGUGGCUGGGGGUGAAAGGCCAAUCAAACCGGGAGAUAGCUGGUUCUCCCCGAAAGCUAUUUAGGUAGCGCCUCGUGAAUUCAUCUCCGGGGGUAGAGCACUGUUUCGGCAAGGGGGUCAUCCCGACUUACCAACCCGAUGCAAACUGCGAAUACCGGAGAAUGUUAUCACGGGAGACACACGGCGGGUGCUAACGUCCGUCGUGAAGAGGGAAACAACCCAGACCGCCAGCUAAGGUCCCAAAGUCAUGGUUAAGUGGGAAACGAUGUGGGAAGGCCCAGACAGCCAGGAUGUUGGCUUAGAAGCAGCCAUCAUUUAAAGAAAGCGUAAUAGCUCACUGGUCGAGUCGGCCUGCGCGGAAGAUGUAACGGGGCUAAACCAUGCACCGAAGCUGCGGCAGCGACGCUUAUGCGUUGUUGGGUAGGGGAGCGUUCUGUAAGCCUGCGAAGGUGUGCUGUGAGGCAUGCUGGAGGUAUCAGAAGUGCGAAUGCUGACAUAAGUAACGAUAAAGCGGGUGAAAAGCCCGCUCGCCGGAAGACCAAGGGUUCCUGUCCAACGUUAAUCGGGGCAGGGUGAGUCGACCCCUAAGGCGAGGCCGAAAGGCGUAGUCGAUGGGAAACAGGUUAAUAUUCCUGUACUUGGUGUUACUGCGAAGGGGGGACGGAGAAGGCUAUGUUGGCCGGGCGACGGUUGUCCCGGUUUAAGCGUGUAGGCUGGUUUUCCAGGCAAAUCCGGAAAAUCAAGGCUGAGGCGUGAUGACGAGGCACUACGGUGCUGAAGCAACAAAUGCCCUGCUUCCAGGAAAAGCCUCUAAGCAUCAGGUAACAUCAAAUCGUACCCCAAACCGACACAGGUGGUCAGGUAGAGAAUACCAAGGCGCUUGAGAGAACUCGGGUGAAGGAACUAGGCAAAAUGGUGCCGUAACUUCGGGAGAAGGCACGCUGAUAUGUAGGUGAAGUCCCUCGCGGAUGGAGCUGAAAUCAGUCGAAGAUACCAGCUGGCUGCAACUGUUUAUUAAAAACACAGCACUGUGCAAACACGAAAGUGGACGUAUACGGUGUGACGCCUGCCCGGUGCCGGAAGGUUAAUUGAUGGGGUCAGCGCAAGCGAAGCUCUUGAUCGAAGCCCCGGUAAACGGCGGCCGUAACUAUAACGGUCCUAAGGUAGCGAAAUUCCUUGUCGGGUAAGUUCCGACCUGCACGAAUGGCGUAAUGAUGGCCAGGCUGUCUCCACCCGAGACUCAGUGAAAUUGAACUCGCUGUGAAGAUGCAGUGUACCCGCGGCAAGACGGAAAGACCCCGUGAACCUUUACUAUAGCUUGACACUGAACAUUGAGCCUUGAUGUGUAGGAUAGGUGGGAGGCUUUGAAGUGUGGACGCCAGUCUGCAUGGAGCCGACCUUGAAAUACCACCCUUUAAUGUUUGAUGUUCUAACGUGGACCCGUGAUCCGGGUUGCGGACAGUGUCUGGUGGGUAGUUUGACUGGGGCGGUCUCCUCCUAAAGAGUAACGGAGGAGCACGAAGGUUGGCUAAUCCUGGUCGGACAUCAGGAGGUUAGUGCAAUGGCAUAAGCCAGCUUGACUGCGAGCGUGACGGCGCGAGCAGGUGCGAAAGCAGGUCAUAGUGAUCCGGUGGUUCUGAAUGGAAGGGCCAUCGCUCAACGGAUAAAAGGUACUCCGGGGAUAACAGGCUGAUACCGCCCAAGAGUUCAUAUCGACGGCGGUGUUUGGCACCUCGAUGUCGGCUCAUCACAUCCUGGGGCUGAAGUAGGUCCCAAGGGUAUGGCUGUUCGCCAUUUAAAGUGGUACGCGAGCUGGGUUUAGAACGUCGUGAGACAGUUCGGUCCCUAUCUGCCGUGGGCGCUGGAGAACUGAGGGGGGCUGCUCCUAGUACGAGAGGACCGGAGUGGACGCAUCACUGGUGUUCGGGUUGUCAUGCCAAUGGCACUGCCCGGUAGCUAAAUGCGGAAGAGAUAAGUGCUGAAAGCAUCUAAGCACGAAACUUGCCCCGAGAUGAGUUCUCCCUGAC